GCCGCCUCCCGAUCGCGCCCCGCGGUCCCCCCCGGGGCAUGAACCGCCCCCCGGCGGGCCGAAACCGGCCAAACCGGCUAAACCGCCCCGAUCAUGCCCAUUUUUCGGCGUUCAAACCGCCGCACGGCUACCCCCCCAUCCCGAUGCCCCCGGACCCCUGGUCCCGUGGGACCUGACGGAAACGGAAUCGGAUGCUCGGAUCAUGAGAUACGCCCAAAACCGUCUAAACCUUCUGAGCGCACCCCGAACAUGCCCAUUUUUCGGCGUUCAAACCGCCGCGCGGCUACCGCCCCAUCCCGAUGCCCCCGGAACCCUGGUCCCGCGGGACCCGACGGAAACGGAAUCGGAGGCCCGGAUCAUGAGUUACGGCCCCUUCUUUGCGGCCCCCGAGGACGUGCGCUAUAGCCCCCCGGGCCACCCCCCAUCCGGCCGCACCCGCCCGAACCCCACCGAACGCGUCCGCCGCCUCCCGAUCCCGCCCCGCGGUCCCCCCCGGGGCAUGAACCGCCCCCCGGCGGGCCGAAACCGGCCAAACCGGCUAAACCGCCCCGAUCAUGCCCAUUUUUCGGCGUUCAAACCGCCGCACGGCUACCCCCCCAUCCCGAUGCCCCCGGACCCCUGGUCCCGUGGGACCUGACGGAAACGGAAUCGGAUGCUCGGAUCAUGAGAUACGCCCAAAACCGUCUAAACCUACUGAGCGCACCCCGAACAUGCCCAUUUUUCGGCGUUCAAACCGCCGCGCGGCUACCCCCCCAUCCCGAUGCCCCCGGAACCCUGGUCCCGCGGGACCCGACGGAAACGGAAUCGGAGGCCCGGAUCAUGAGUUACGGCCCCUUCUUUGCGGCCCCCGAGGACGUGCGCUAUAGCCCCCCGGGCCACCCCCCAUCCGGCCGCACCCGCCCGAACCCCACCGAACGCGUCCGCCGCCUCCCGAUCCCGCCCCGCGGUCCCCCCCGGGGCAUGAACCAGCCCCCGGCGGGCCGAAACCGGCCAAACCGGCUAAACCGCCCCGAUCAUGCCCAUUUUUCGGCGUUCAAACCGCCGCACGGCUUCCCCCCCAUCCCGAUGCCCCCGGACCCCUGGUCCCGUGGGACCUGGCGGAAACGGAAUCGGAUGCUCGGAUCAUGAGAUACGCCCAAAACCGUCUAAACCUACUGAGCGCACCCCGAACAUGCCCAUUUUUCGGCGUUCAAACCGCCGCGCGGCUACCCCCCCAUCCCGAUGCCCCCGGAACCCUGGUCCCGCGGGACCCGACGGAAACGGAAUCAGAGGCCCGGAUCAUGAGUUACGGCCCCUUCUAUGCGGCCCCCGAGGACGUGCGCUAUAGCCCCCCGGGCCACCCCCCAUCCGGCCGCACCCGCCCGAACCCCACCGAACGCGUCCGCCGCCUCCCGAGCCCGCCCCGCGGUCCCUCCCUGGGCACGAACCGGGCCCCGGCGGGCCGAAACCGGCCAAACCGGCUAAACCGCCCCGAUCAUGCCCAUUUUUCGGCGUUCAAACCGCCGCACGGCUACCCCCCCAUCCCGAUGCCCCCGGACCCCUGGUCCCGUGGGACCUGACGGAAACGGAAUCGGAUGCUCGGAUCAUGAGAUACGCCCAAAACCGUCUAAACCUUCUGAGCGCACCCCGAACAUGCCCAUUUUUCGGCGUUCAAACCGCCGCGCGGCUACCGCCCCAUCCCGAUGCCCCCGGAACCCUGGUCCCGCGGGACCCGACGGAAACGGAAUCGGAGCCCUGGUUCAUGAGUUCCGGCCCAUUCUAUGCGGCCCCCGAUGACGUGCUCUAUCGCCCCCCGGGCCACCCCCCAUCUGGCCGCACCCGCCCGAACCCCACCGAACGCGUCCGCCGCCUCCCGAUCCCGCCCCGCGGUCCCCCCCGGGGCAUGAACCGCCCCCCGGCGGGCCGAAACCGGCCAAACCGGCUAAACCGCCCCGAUCAUGCCCAUUUUUCGGCGUUCAAACCGCCGCACGGCUACCCCCCCAUCCCGAUGCCCCCGGACCCCUGGUCCCGUGGGACCUGACGGAAACGGAAUCGGAUGCUCGGAUCAUGAGAUACGCCCAAAACCGUCUAAACCUACUGAGCGCACCCCGAACAUGCCCAUUUUUCGGCGUUCAAACCGCCGCGCGGCUACCCCCCCAUCCUGAUGCCCCCGGAACCCUGGUCCCGCG
rnacentral:lncRNA from 1 species